rnacentral:rRNA from 1 species
UCCUACGGGAGGCAGCAGUUGGGAAUCUUGGACAAUGGGGGAAACCCUGAUCCAGCCAUGCCGCGUGAGUGAUGAAGGCCUUCGGGUUGUAAAGCUCUUUUACCCGGGAAGAUAAUGACGGUACCCGCAGAAGAAGUCCCGGCUAACUCCGUGCCAGCAGCCGCGGUA